UUGUCUCAAAGAUUAAGCCAUGCAUGUCUCAGUACAAGCCGAAUUAAGGUGAAACCGCGAAAGGCUCAUUAAAUCAGUUAUGGUUCCUUAGAUCGUACCACACUUACUUGGAUAACUGUGGUAAUUCUAGAGCUAAUACAUGCAAACAGAGCUCCGACCGGAGACGGAAGGAGCGCUUUUAUUAGAUCAAAACCAAUCGGUGGCGGGUUCGCCCGUCAUCGUACAACCUGGUGACUCUGAAUAACUUUAAGCUGAUCGCACGGUCUCGCACCGGCGACGCAUCUUUCAAAUGUCUGCCUUAUCAACUGUCGAUGGUAGGUUCUGCGCCUACCAUGGUUGUAACGGGUAACGGGGAAUCAGGGUUCGAUUCCGGAGAGGGAGCCUGAGAAACGGCUACCACAUCCAAGGAAGGCAGCAGGCGCGCAAAUUACCCACUCCCGGCACGGGGAGGUAGUGACGAAAAAUAACGAUACGGGACUCAUCCGAGGCCCCGUAAUCGGAAUGAGUACACUCUAAACCCUUUAACGAGGAUCAAUUGGAGGGCAAGUCUGGUGCCAGCAGCCGCGGUAAUUCCAGCUCCAAUAGCGUAUAUUAAAGUUGUUGCGGUUAAAAAGCUCGUAGUCGAAUUUGUGUCCCGCGCCGCCGGUUCAUCGUCCGCGGUGUUAACUGGCGUGCCGCGGGACGUCCUGCCGGUGGGCUUAGCCCUACGGGGCGGCCCAACUCAAUCCCGCCGCGGUGCUCUUCACUGAGUGUCGAGGUGGGCCGGCACGUUUACUUUGAACAAAUUAGAGUGCUUAAAGCAGGCUAAAACUUCGCCUGAAUACUGUGUGCAUGGAAUAAUGGAAUAGGACCUCGGUUCUAUUUUGUUGGUUUUCGGAACCCCGAGGUAAUGAUUAAUAGGAACGGAUGGGGGCAUUCGUACUGCGACGUAGAGGUGAAAUUCUUGGACCGUCGCAAGACGAACAGAAGCGAAAGCAUUUGCCAAAAACGCUUUCAUUGAUCAAGAACGAAAGUUAGAGGUUCGAAGGCGAUCAGAUACCGCCCUAGUUCUAACCAUAAACGAUGCCAGCUAGCGAUCCGCCGACGUUCCAUUAUAUGACUCGGCGGGCAGCUUCCGGGAAACCAAAGCUUUUGGGUUCCGGGGGAAGUAUGGUUGCAAAGCUGAAACUUAAAGGAAUUGACGGAAGGGCACCACCAGGAGUGGAGCCUGCGGCUUAAUUUGACUCAACACGGGAAACCUCACCAGGCCCGGACACCGGAAGGAUUGACAGAUUGAGAGCUCUUUCUUGAUUCGGUGGGUGGUGGUGCAUGGCCGU
rnacentral:rRNA from 1 species